rnacentral:rRNA from 1 species
CCUACGGGAGGCAGCAGUGGGGAAUAUUGGGCAAUGGGCGCAAGCCUGACCCAGCCACGCCGCGUGAAGGACGAAGGCUUUCGGGUUGUAAACUUCUUUUCUGGGGGACGAACAAAUGACGGUACCCCAGGAAUAAGCCACGGCUAACUACGUGCCAGCAGCCGCGGUAAUACGUAGGUGGCAAGCGUUAUCCGGACUUAUUGGGUUUAAAGGGCGUGUAGGCGGGAAUGCAAGUCAGAUGUGAAAACUCAGGGCUCAACCCUGAGCCUGCAUUUGAAACUGUGUGUCUUGAGUGCUGGAGAGGCAAGCGGAAUUCCGUGUGUAGCGGUGAAAUGCGUAGAUAUACGGAGGAACACCAGUGGCGAAGGCGGAUUGCUAGACAGUAACUGACACUGAGGCGCGAAAGCGUGGGGAGCAAACAGGAUUAGAUACCCUUGUAGUC